GAUGAACGCUGGCGGCGUGCUUAACACAUGCAAGUCGAACGGUGAAGCAGGAGCUUGCUCUUGUGGAUCAGUGGCGAACGGGUAAGUAACACGUGAGCAACCUGCCCCUGACUCUGGGAUAAGCGCUGGAAACGGCGUCUAAUACUGGAUAUGUGAUGUGACCGCAUGGUCUGCAUCUGGAAAGAAUUUCGGUUGGGGAUGGGCUCGCGGGCUAUCAGCUUGUUGGUGAGGUAAUGGCUCACCAAGGCGUCGACGGGUAGCCGGCGUGAGAGGGUGACCGGCCACACUGGGACUGAGGGACGGCCCAGACUCCUACGGGAGGCUGCAGUGGGGAAUAGUGCACAAUGGGCGGAAGCCUGAUGCAGCAACGCCGCGUGGGGGAUGACGGCCUUCGGGUUGUAAACCUCUUUUAGCAGGGAAGAAGCGAAAGUGACGGUACCUGAAGAAAAAGCACCGGCUAACUACGUGCCAGCAGCCGCAGUAA
rnacentral:rRNA from 1 species